AGGACAAUGUGCAGGCGUGAUGCAGCAUGAUUUUUCAGGGGGACCAGAAGCAGCCCCGGGCACAGCGGUCACCCCGGUGGAGUCAGCGGCACCAUGAGAGGCGCUACCCAGGAACAGCUCUGUGCACCUUGACUGCUCACCGGCCAAGCCCAAGUCCCUGAGCCUGCUCCUGACACCCAGUCGGCUUGCUUCCCCGCCUCAUCUUUGACUGCUCUUCCUUUCAGUCACCCCUCAUCUUCCUUCUACUUCUAUGCAGGUCCAAGCAUACUUACUGUGGCUUAUUUUGUUCCCUCUGCCUGAAAGAGGUCUCUUCACCUGUCAAACUCCCGGGUACCCUUCAGACUGAGAUGAUUGUCCCCUUGAAUGUGAAUUUCCCUGAGGCAAAACUCACCGGUUCUGCUGCUGCGUCUGUGUUCCUUCAACCCAUUCUCCACACAGGGCCAGAGCCAUCUUAGCUCCAGGCACGUCACCAGUUCACGUCCCAACGAGUUUAGAAUGAGUUCACAUUCUUUGGUGGCCACAUGCCUGCCCUACUGGCUCAUCUCUGACCUCACUCUCACCAUGCUCCUCUUCCUUCUAGCACCAUCGGCCUCCUGGCACUUCCUGGAACUGCCUCAGGUCUUUCCUCUUGCCUCAGGUCCUUUGCACAAAUGAUUCCCUCCUCUCUUUCCCUGGAAUUCUCACUGUGUAUCUUCCAGAUCUCUGCUUAAAUGUCGUCUCCUCAGACAGGCCUUCCACACCUUCCUCUCCAAAAGAGGUUCUCACCAUUGUCUCAUUAUAACAAGGCUAGUCUAAGUCCAUAUAUGCUGCUAUAACAAAACACAUAGAGGGGGCAGCUUGUAAACAACAGAGAUGUAUUUCUCACUGUUCUGCAGGCUGGGAAGUCCAAGGUAAAUGUACUGGCUAAUCUAACGUCUGGUGAAGACCCACUUCCUGGUUCAUAGGUGGUGCCUUCUCACUUCAUUGUCACAUGAUAGAAGGGGUGAGGGAGUUCUCUGGGUCCCUUUUAUAAGGGUGCUAAUCCCAUUCAAGAAGGCUCCACAUUCAUGACCUAAUCACCUCCUAAAGCCCCACCUUCUAAUACCAUGACCAUAUGGUUUUUGCUGUGUCCCCACCCAAAUCUCUUCCUGAAUUAUAGCCCCCACAAUUCCCAUGUGUCAUGGGAGGGACCAGGUAGGAGGUAAUUGAAUCAUGGGGGUGGGUCUUUCUAGUGCUGUUCUCGUGAUAGUGAAUAAGUCUCACGAGAUCUGAUGGUUUUAUAAAGGGGAGUUUCCCGCACAAGUUCUCUUCUCUUGUCCACUGCCAUGUGAGAAGUGUCUUUCACCUUCCACCGUGAUUAUGAGGCCUCCCCAGCCAUGUGGAACUGUGAGUCCAUUAAACCUCUUUCUUUUGUAAGUUGCCCAGUCUCAAGUAUGUCUUUAUCAGCAGUGUGAAAACGGACUAAUACACAUCACCUUGCAGGUGAGAAUUUCAACAUAUGAAUUUUGGGGGGACACAAAAAUUCAGACCACAGCAUUUAGUCAUUGUUCUCUGUCUUUCUUUGUUGACUUCAGUUAUGACCACCUCCUAGCUAGAGUGUGAGCUUUGUGAGACAGAGACCACCUGUGUUGCAGCAGAAUAUUUGUUGAAUAAAUUAAUGAAGUAUUAAUUAUUAGGUAUUGCCAUUUUAAUGAGCAUGUUUCCUUCAUUGCACUGCAAGUCCAUUGAAACUAUUAGCCUUUGUGAUUUUGACAUAUAUAUUUUGGCCUGGCCCCAAAUCUAAAUAUUUGCAGGAUUGAAGAGAACUUGACUCAUGAUUGGAAUGAACUGCAAAGAGGAAGCUUUCAAUACUUGAGCACUUCAAACUGAACCUCUGAAGUGGGACCGAACCCAAUGCAAGCCCUAGGCCAAGAUUCAAGGGCAGUUCCUUAAUGUUGCAAGUGACUUAAGGAAAUGAUCACUGGCCAUAGGCAGAGCAGGAGAGAGCAGACUGAGCUGAAGGGAAAGUUACUGGUUUACCUCUGGGGUUUCCCUCUGU
rnacentral:lncRNA from 10 species